ensembl:lncRNA
GUCAUACUGGAAACACCACAGAUUAUAUUGUAACUUAAUAGCUCUGUAGAACAAAUGAUAUAAAGAUUGUAGUGUCAGGGUACUUCUUAAGAAGUAAUAUGGCACUAUUGAUGAUCACAUGCAGGUGGCAUAAACUAAAUAUUCAGACGUGUUACCAACAAAUGAUUCAUUAACAAAAGCAAUGGAGCAGACUGUUUAGGUUCUUGUGGUUGUAAUAACAUCCAUAACUGCAAGUUUGUCAUUAAUUUAUUUUCACAGGUCUAGAUGAUCACAUCUGUCUUUGUCAUUUAAAUGAGGUGGACUUGCAAACUUUGCGCUCUUUUGGGUAAAUUGCUGUCCACUACAUAUACACAGAAUGUGCACAGUAUUUCAGAUCUAAAAAGGGAGUAUGUAAUGGACUUGCUGGCUUUAAUGUAAAAAGCCUGUUGUGUAACUUUAAUGAGGCAGUUGGACUAAAACAGUAUUGCUCACAAGGUAAAUGUCUGAGGAAUAAGGAAAUUGUUACUUGUCCUUUUACUCAGUGUUCUUUUAAUCGCACGUUUACUAAAGUUUUACAUCACAUAAGUCAUUUUCACAAUCAUUCUACUUUAAAAGAUUUCGAGACAGAGCUUAUUGUUCUGUGAACUUCCUUGUUUGCUGAACUGCAGGUAAAGUGCAUCUUUUUGUUUGUUUGCUUUUGUGUGUUUGUGUUUUCUCUAAUGGGUCUCAGAUGACUGUUUGCUUAAAUUUGGGUCUCAAAGAAUCUUUUUUUUAUUCUGCCUGUACUCUCCACCCCUCUUCUUCUAUUGCUCAGGUUGAAGCAGAAUUUGCCCGUCUUACAUCUGUUGACCUGAAAGGGUUCCUUUUGCUGUGCUUGACCAUUAUGGAGAGGUUCGUGGAGCUGUAGAAAAUCAAGAGCGGCAUAGGAGGGCUAACUAGGCUCAUAAGAUGCUUCGGUGAUGAUAGCCCUACACAAAGGAAGAGGACAGAGGACCUAAUUUUCUAAAGGAAGAUCCCUCACACACUUUCAAGACUGUGAAGCCGACAGGUAUUGAAGACACGUUUUCUAAG